rnacentral:rRNA from 1 species
UACAGAGGGUGCAAGCGUUGCUCGGAUUUACUGGGCGUAAAGCGUACGCAGACGGUAAGGAAGGUCGAAUGUGAAAGCCCCGGGCUCAACCCGGGAAAUGCAUCCGAAACCCCCUUGCUAGAGUAUGAGAGAGGGAAGCGGAAUUCCUGGUGUAGAGGUGAAAUUCGUAGAUAUCAGGAGGAACAUCGGCGGCGAAGGCGGCUUCCUGGCUCAUUACUGACGUUCAGGUACGAAAGCGUGGGUAGCAAACAGG